GAUGAACGCUGGCGGCGUGCCUAAUACAUGCAAGUCGAGCGAACAGACGAGGAGCUUGCUCCUCUGACGUUAGCGGCGGACGGGUGAGUAACACGUGGAUAACCUACCUAUAAGACUGGGAUAACUUCGGGAAACCGGAGCUAAUACCGGAUAAUAUAUUGAACCGCAUGGUUCAAUAGUGAAAGUCGGUUUUGCUGUCACUUAUCGAUGCAUCUGCGCCGCAUUAGCUAGUUGGUAAGGUAAAGGCUUACCACGGCAACGAUGCGUAGCCGACCGGUGAGGGUGAUCGGCCACACGGGAAGGGAAACACGGACCAGACGCCUACGGGAGGCAGCAGUAGGGAAUCUGCCGCAAUGGGCGAAAGCCUGACGGAGCAACGCCGCGUGAGUGAUGAAGGUCUUCGGAUCGUAAAACUCUGUUAUGAGGGAAGAACAAAUGUGUAAGUAACUAUGCACGUCUUGACGGUACCUAAUCAGAAAGCCACGGCUAACUACGUG
rnacentral:rRNA from 1 species